rnacentral:rRNA from 1 species
UACGUAGGGCGCAAGCGUUAUCCGGAAUUAUUGGGCGUAAAGAGCUCGUAGGCGGCUUGUCACGUCGGGUGUGAAAGCCCGGGGCUUAACCCCGGGUCUGCAUUCGAUACGGGCUAGCUAGAGUGUGGUAGGGGAGAUCGGAAUUCCUGGUGUAGCGGUGAAAUGCGCAGAUAUCAGGAGGAACACCGGUGGCGAAGGCGGAUCUCUGGGCCAUUACUGACGCUGAGGCGCGAAAGCUAGGGGAGCAAACGGG